rnacentral:rRNA from 1 species
CCUACGGGAGGCAGCAGUAGGGAAUUUUCCACAAUGGGCGAAAGCCUGAUGGAGCAAUACCGCGUGCAGGAUGAAGGCCUUCGGGUCGUAAACUGCUUUUAUGUGCGAAGAAUUUGACGGUAACACAUGAAUAAGGAUCGGCUAACUACGUGCCAGCAGCCGCGGUCAUACGUAGGAUCCAAGCGUUAUCCGGAAUUACUGGGCGUAAAGAGUUGCGUAGGUGGCAUUAUAAGUGGAGCGUGAAAGCGUGCGGCUCAACCGCAUUAUUGCGUUCCAAACUGUGAAGCUUGAGUAUGGGAGAGGUAGAUGGAAUUUCUAGUGUAGGAGUGAAAUCCGUAGAUAUUAGAAGGAACACCGAUGGCGUAGGCAGUCUACUGGCCCAUUACUGACACUAAGGCACGAAAGCGUGGGGAGCAAACGGGAUUAGAUACCCCGGUAGUCCACGCUGUAAACUAUGGAUGCUAGCUGUGACACACAUCGACCUGUGUCGUAGCGAAGUUAACGCGUUAAGCAUCCCGCCUGGGGAGUACGGUCGCAAGAUUAAAACUCAAAGGAAUUGACGG